rnacentral:piRNA from 1 species
UGGAUUGCACCACGACUGACUUUUGCAUC